CAGCCGCCGCGGGAAUACGGAGGGUGCAAGCGUUAAUCGGAAUUACUGGGCGUAAAGCGCACGCAGGCGGUUUGUUAAGUCAGAUGUGAAAUCCCCGAGCUUAACUUGGGAACUGCAUUUGAAACUGGCAAGCUAGAGUCUUGUAGAGGGGGGUAGAAUUCCAGGUGUAGCGGUGAAAUGCGUAGAGAUCUGGAGGAACACCGGUGGCGAAGGCGGCCCCCUGGACAAAGACUGACGCUCAGGUGCGAAAGCGUGGGGAGCAAACAGGAUUAGAUACCCGUGUAGUCCCUGUCUCUUAUAC
rnacentral:rRNA from 1 species